UAGUCUGGGAAACUGCCUGAUGAGGGGGGAUAACUGCUGGAAACGGUAGCUAAUACCGCAUAACGUCGCAAGACCAAAGUGGGGGACCUUCGGGCCUCAUGCCAUCAGAUGUGCCCAGAUGGGAUUAGCUAGUAGGUGGGGUAAUGGCUCACCUAGGCGACGAUCCCUAGCUGGUCUGAGAGGAUGACCAGCCACACUGGAACUGAGACACGGUCCAG
rnacentral:rRNA from 1 species